GGCGGGAAGUGAAAAACAAGUAUAUGUUGAACAAUUUUUGAACAAACUAUUUGAUUGUAAUGUAGAGUUUCCAGCAAGUUUCUGAAUGGAUGCUACACUUUUUGUGCCAUUCAACUGGCCUUGACUAGUUCGUUGAACUCUGGAUCUACAUUAUUCAUUCUUCUAGCUUUUUCUCAAAAUGACCUUGUCCUCUUUCAGGAAAAUAAUAAGAAUGAACUUGAUAGGUUUGAACAAGAAAGAAACAAUGACUUCUUCAAUACGUUGAAAGGAUUUGUUUAUAAUCAAGAAGAGGCAUAAUUCUUGGAGAGAAAUUUGGAAAACCAUUCUGAUGGAGGAGCUGGAAUUCGAUUUGGUUUGCAAGGAUUGGGAUUCUCCAUCAUUUUGCUUGCUAAGUUUUCUUCAAGGUGUUUCUGUGGUUCGUGGCUCUUGCUCUAUCUCAUGUUGGAGAUUAUUGUUAUUUGGAGACCUAUGUGGUCAUUGUAUCAUGAUCUUUUGUAACCUUGUAAUUGGUUAAGUUGUAUCUUUAUAUGUAUAUUGAGAAGCCAUGUAUUGGAAGAGCAAUGUAAUCCUAAGAUUGGGAUGUUAUUUAU